AACGAACGCUGGCGGCAGGCCUAACACAUGCAAGUCGAACGAAGUCUUCGGACUUAGUGGCGCACGGGUGAGUAACACGUGGGAAUAUACCUUACGCUGGGGGAUAACAUCGGGAAACUGAUGCUAAUACCGCAUACGCCCUUCGGGGGAAAGAUUUAUCGGCGAAAGAUUAGCCCGCGUCCGAUUAGCUAGUUGGUGAGGUAAUGGCUCACCAAGGCUCCGAUCGGUAGCUGGUCUGAGAGGAUGACCAGCCACACUGGGACUGAGACACGGCCCAGACUCCUACGGGAGGCAGCAGUAGGGAAUAUUGGACAAUGGGCGCAAGCCUGGUCCAGCCAUGCCGCGUGAGUGGUGAAGGCCUUAGGGUUGUAAAGCUCUUUCACCCACGACGAUGAUGACGGUAGUGGGAGAAGAAGCCCCGGCUAACUUCGUG
rnacentral:rRNA from 1 species